rnacentral:rRNA from 1 species
UGGGGAAUUUUGCACAAUGGGCGCAAGCCUGAUGCAGCGACGCCGCGUGAGGGAUGAAGGCCUUCGGGUUGUAAACCUUUUUCGCUCAUGGUCAAGCCGCAGCUUUGGGUUGUGGUGAGGGUAGUGGGUAAAGAAGCAACGGCUAAAUACGUGCCAGCAGCCGCGGUAAUACGUAUGUUGCGAGCGUUAUCCGGAAUUAUUGGGCUUAAAGGGCAUCUAGGCGGUAAGACAAGUUGAAGGUGAAAACCUGUGGCUCAACCAUAGGCUUGCCUACAAAACUGUUGAACUAGAGUACUGGAAAGGUGGGUGGAACUACACGAGUAGAGGUGAAAUUCGUAGAUAUGUGUAGGAAUGCCGAUGAUGAAGAUAACUCACUGGACAGAAACUGACGCUGAAGUGCGAAAGCUAGGGGAGCAAACAGG